rnacentral:rRNA from 1 species
AUUGGUCAAUUGGUGAAAGCCUGAACCAGCCAUGCCGCGUUCAGGUCGACGGCCUUCUGGGUUGUAAACUUCUUUUGUCAGGGAAUAAAACGCUCAUGCGUGGGAGGUUUAAGGUACCUGACGAAUAAGCCACGGCUAACUACGUUCCAGCAGCCGCGGUAAUACGUAGGUGGCGAGCGUUGUCCGGAUUUAUUGGGUUUAAGGGGUGCGUAGGCGGCCUUGUAAGUCAGUUCUGAAAUAUCCCGGCUUAACCGGGAGGGUGGGAUUGAUACUGCUUGGCUUGAGUGGAGUCGAGGUAGGCGGAAUUGACGGUGUAGCGGUGAAAUGCUUAGAUAUCGUCAAGAACACCGAUAGCGUAGGCAGCCCCCUGGGAUAAUACUGACGCUCAGACACGAAAGCGUGGGGAGCAAACAGG